rnacentral:rRNA from 1 species
UAAUUAAGUUUUUUAUUUUUAUUUUUAUUAUGUAAUUUUAAUUGAAAUAACUUUAUAUUUAGUAUAUUUUAUAGAAAUAUUUAUUUUUAAUUAUAGUUUAUUUUACUGUGAAGGAUCAUAAAUUUAAUUUGAAAAAGUAUAAUUUUUAUUAGUACCUUUUGUAUCAGGGUUUAUUUAUUAAUUAAUAUUUAUUUUAUUAAUUCCCGAAAUUAUAAGAGUUAUCUUAAGAUGUUUUUUACUGUAUCAAAAUUAUUUAUAAUUUUAAGAUAGGGGUUAUAUGCUAUUCAAUUAUAAUAUAUCUGGUUACUUAAGAAAUGAAUUUAAUUCAAAAUUAUUAUGUUAAUUUUUAUUUUUAUUUAUUUUAAUAUGAUAAUUAAAAAUUAUGGGGGAUUAGCUCUGUAAUUUAAUUUAUAAAGGAUUAUAUUAAUUAAUUUUUGUAGGCUUGAUAACAGCCAUCUAAAAUUUCGUUAUAGUUUAUAUUAAUUAUUGAAUUUAUUUUAGGUCUUUUAUUUUUAUUAUUAAGUGUUAUUAUUUAAUUUUUUAAUAAUAAUUAUAAUGAUAGAAUUAGUAGUUUUUAUUGUUUAAGUAUAGUAAUUCGGCAAAUUUUAUCUUCGCCUGUUUAACAAAAACAUGUCUUAUAGAUAUUAAUUUUAAGUCUAGCCUGCUCAAUGAUUAUUAAAUUAAAUAGCCGCAGUAUACUGACUGUGCAAAGGUAGCAUAAUCAUUUGUCUUUUAAUUGGAGGCUUGUAUGAAUGGUUGGACGAGGGAUAAUCUUUCUUUAUUUAAUUUUUAUGAAUUUAAUAUUUUAGUCAAAAAGCUAAAAUAUUUUUGUGGGACGAGAAGACCCUAUAGAAUUUUAUUAUUAUAUUAAUAAUUUUGAAUUAAUUUCUUUAUUUAAUUUAUUAAUAUAAUAAUUUGGUUGGGGUGAUUGUGAAAUUUAAUUAACUUUUAUUUUUAAUUUAUUCAUUAAUUAUUGUUUACUACUGAUCCUUUUUUAGGGAAUAAAAGAUUAAAUUACCUUAGGGAUAACAGCGUAAUUCUUUUGGAGAGUUCUUAUCGAUGAAGGAGUUUGCGACCUCGAUGUUGGAUUAAAGUUAAUUUUUGGUGUAGAAGCUAAAUAUAUUAGGUCUGUUCGACCUUUAAAUCUUUACAUGAUCUGAGUUCAGACCGGCGUGAGCCAGGUUGGUUUCUAUCUACAAUUAAUUUUGAUAUUUUAGUACGAAAGGACCAAAUAUCAAUAAUAUUUAUUUAUAUUUGAUUUAUAUUAA